AGGGUCUUGGGCUCCCUAGAGAAGGUGGUUCCCUUCGGGGACGCAGAGACAGGUGGUGCAUGGCUGUCGUCAGCUCGUGUCGUGAGAUGUUGGGUUAAGUCCCGCAACGAGCGCAACCCUUGUCUUUAGUUGCCAUCAUUAAGUUGGGCACUCUAAAGAGACUGCCGGUGACAAACCGGAGGAAGGUGGGGAUGACGUCAAGUCAUCAUGCCCCUUAUGACCUGGGCUACACACGUGCUACAAUGGGCAGUACAACGAGAAGCGAACCCGCGAGGGUAAGCGGAUCUCUUAAAGCUGUUCUCAGUUCGGACUGCAGGCUGCAACUCGCCUGCACGAAGCUGGAAUCGCUAGUAAUCGCGGAUCAGCACGCCGCGGUGAAUACGUUCCCGGGUCUUGUACACACCGA
rnacentral:rRNA from 1 species